rnacentral:rRNA from 1 species
CGAAUGAACGCUGGCGGCAUGGAUUAGGCAUGCAAGUCGAACGGGGCGCCCUCGGGCGCCCAGUGGCGAAAAGGGUGAGUAACACGUGAGCAACCUGCCCCCGAGUCCGGAAUAAGCGGUGGAAACGCCGUCUAAUGCCGGAUGCGGACCGCGGCCUCCUGGCCGCGGCUCCAAAGAUUUAUCGCUCGGGGAUGGGCUCGCGCCCCAUUAGCUGGUUGGCGGGGUAACGGCCCACCAAGGCUGCGACGGGUAGGUGGACUGAGAGGUUGGUCACCCACACUGGGACUGAGACACUGCCCAGACUCCUACGGGAGGCAGCAGUGAGGAAUAUUGCGCAAUGGGGGCAACCCUGACGCAGCAACGCCGCGUGAGUGAGGAAGGUUUUCGGACUGUAAAGCUCUGUCGAGCGGGAAGAAGUGUACCAUGGCUAAUAUCCAUGAUAUUUGACGGUACCGCUAGAGGAAGCACCGGCUAACUCCGUG